rnacentral:tRNA from 1 species
GGGCAUAUAACUCAGUGGCAGAGGGAAUGCUUAGCAUGCAUGAGGUCCUGGGUUCAAUCCCCAGUACCUCCA